GCAAGUCGAGCGAGCUUGCCUAGAUGAUUUUAGUGCUUGCACUAAAUGAAACUAGAUACAAGCGAGCGGCGGACGGGUGAGUAACACGUGGGUAACCUGCCCAAGAGACUGGGAUAACACCUGGAAACAGAUGCUAAUACCGGAUAACAACACUAGACGCAUGUCUAGAGUUUGAAAGAUGGUUCUGCUAUCACUCUUGGAUGGACCUGCGGUGCAUUAGCUAGUUGGUAAGGUAACGGCUUACCAAGGCAAUGAUGCAUAGCCGAGUUGAGAGACUGAUCGGCCACAUUGGGACUGAGACACGGCCCAAACUCCUACGGGAGGCAGCAGUAGGGAAUCUUCCACAAUGGACGAAAGUCUGAUGGAGCAACGCCGCGUGAGUGAAGAAGGGUUUCGGCUCGUAAGGCUCUGUUGGUAGUGAAGAAAGAUAGAGGUAGUAACUGGCCUUUAUUUGACGGUAAUUACUUAGAAAGUCACGGCUAACUACGUG
rnacentral:rRNA from 1 species